rnacentral:rRNA from 1 species
UACAGAGGUCUCGAGCGUUGUUCGGAUUCAUUGGGCGUAAAGGGUGCGUAGGUGGCGUGGUAAGUCCGUUGUGAAAUCCCCUGGGCUCAACCUGGGAAUGGCAGUGGAUACUGGACGGCUAGAAUGCGGUAGAGGGUAGUGGAAUUCCCCGGUGUAGCAGUGAAAUGCGUAGAGAUCGGGAGGAACACCAGUGGCGAAGGCGGCUACCUGGACCAGCAUUGACACUCAAGCACGAAAGCGUGGGGAGCAAACAGG